rnacentral:snRNA from 1 species
AUUGCUUCUCAGCCUUUUGGCUAAGAUCAAAUGUAGUAUUUGUUCUUAUCAGUUUAAUAAAAGUAUUGUAAUAAAAAAAAAAAACCUCUUGGGUUUGAGCAAAAAGUAUAGUAUUACAUUUCUACACUAUUUAAAGAGCA